rnacentral:tRNA from 1 species
AUCGCAGUAGCUCAGUGGUACAGCUCCCGCUUCGUACGCGGGAAGACCUGAUUUCGAUUCCCGGCUGCUUUC